UUUCUCCGAGGCUGGAAUGGGCUA
rnacentral:piRNA from 1 species